rnacentral:rRNA from 1 species
CCUACGGGAGGCAGCAGUGGGGAAUUUUGGACAAUGGGCGAAAGCCUGAUCCAGCAAUGCCGCGUGAGUGAAGAAGGCCUUCGGGUUGUAAAGCUCUUUUGUCAGGGAAGAAACGGUGAAAGCUAAUAUCUUUUGCUAAUGACGGUACCUGAAGAAUAAGCACCGGCUAACUACGUGCCAGCAGCCGCGGUAAUACGUAGGGUGCAAGCGUUAAUCGGAAUUACUGGGCGUAAAGCGUGCGCAGGCGGUUUUGUAAGUCUGAUGUGAAAUCCCCGGGCUCAACCUGGGAAUUGCAUUGGAGACUGCAAGGCUAGAAUCUGGCAGAGGGGGGUAGAAUUCCACGUGUAGCAGUGAAAUGCGUAGAUGUGGAGGAACACCGAUGGCGAAGGCAGCCCCCUGGGUCAAGAUUGACGCUCAUGCACGAAAGCGUGGGGAGCAAACAGGAUUAGAUACCCUGGUAGUCCACGCCCUAAACGAUGUCUACUAGUUGUCGGGUCUUAAUUGACUUGGUAACGCAGCUAACGCGUGAAGUAGACCGCCUGGGGAUACGGUGCAAGNUUAAACUUAAUGAAUUGACCGGNNGAGAGAGCGAGACGACGACGAGGGAGGAGG